ACUGGAAAGGAUGGGAUUGGGAGAGCUUUUUGGGAUUAUGAUCCUCCCGUCCGCUGGCUGGUACUCCGCAGCGCGUCGUCGCUCCUCUGGUCUUCUCGAGCUCGCCAACUCGCCGGUAAGUCCGGCCGCCACGGACGAACGAAGGUUCGGUCAGCGUGGACGUCCUUCCAACUCCCUGCUGCCAUGGAGGAAGGCGCAUCCCCCCCACCGUGUAGCGCCCUGGUACCCCUGCAUUCCCUUCAUUCACUGAGUCCUGCAGUAGUAGUUGAUUGCGCCAUGGACGGAGAGGAUCGUGAGUCAGAGGAAUGGAGGUGCGCCGGCUUGGGGAUUGACAUACCAGGCGACCCCCUUGCUCAUAGGCCCCUUCUUCCACCUCCGGAUGCAUCAUUUGUAGAUGUAAGGUUAUGCCAUUUUGUUUAUGUAUAUUUUAUUUUGUUUGCAGUGAGUGACUAGUAUGUCGGUUUAGGGUUUACAAAUUGAUUGGGGCUCCAUAGAAAUUGAGGAAAUAUGGGAGGAAGAAGGAGCACAAGAGGUUGUGUCAGAGGCUGUCAUGUAUGACAAGUUGGGCUUAAUGGAUGAAGAUAAUCAGGAAUCGAAUGCGAGACAACAAGCUUUUAGUUGUAGACCAUGUCCAGUUCGCAACAGAAAUGAUGAUUCUGAUGAUGAAAUAGGUGCAUUACCCUGCAAGGAUGCUAUACCUAGAGAGCGAAUAUUAGUUUGUAACCGAUCGAACCCUAUUAUGAAGGUUGGUAGUUUAUACAAGGAUAUGAAAGAAUUUAGACUGGCUAUAAGGCAAUACGCGAUUAACAAUGAGUUUGAGUUAGGAAUUGAGUCAAGCGCUCCAUUCAGAUAUCGUGGUUACUGUAAAGGUGGUGAUUGCCCUUGGAGAAUUAAUGCGAGACCCGAAGUUGCUGGUUCCCCCACUAUAGUUGUUUCAGUCAUUGUUGACCACCACACUUGCACUUCUAGUGGUCGAAGGAAGACCACAACACCAACAGAGAUAUUGCUCAUGUCUGGAAUGGCAGCACACUGGGAAACCUUGUCAGCACGGUCUUGUGGUUAUAAUAGCGCAACAGUUGCGAGAUGUAGGAAUGGAGCAUUUCGUUGAUGAUUAUUUUUCAGUGGACAAAUUUAAAAAAGCUUAUGGUAGAAUGAUCGAGUCCCUGGGUGAUAAGUCCUUUUGGCCCAAAGUCAACCUAGCCGACGAAGUAGGGGCACCACUUGGGAAACGAUCUGUUGGUCGACAGAGAAAGAAUAGAAUUAAAAGUUGCCUUGAAGGUGGUAAAGGAAAGAAAAAAGUAUCUGGAAAUGAAAAUGAAAAUGAGAGAAAGAUACUAAGAGGAAAGAUAAAGUGCCCAAAUUGUGGUCAACUAGGUCAUCGGAAAGCAAGCCCAAAAUGCCCCCUUAAUGGAACUAAAAAGAGAAAAUGAAAACCAAGGAUGAAUACCACAAAACAGUGGUUUCCCAAAGAAAACAUGGCUGGUCCUGGUGUCAACAUCCCUACUGCAGAGGUUGUUCCUAGUGUUGUUCCUGGUGUUGUUGCUGGUGCUGUUCCUAGUGCUGUUCCUGGUGUCAACACCCCAACUGCAGAAGCUGGCCUUUCAUCGCCUCCAAGAAAGAUUAGAAGAGUCGUACGCAAGAUUACACCGAAGAAGAAAGCCUCACUGCUGCUGCAGUUUGAAUCUGUCUUGGACAGAUACAUACUAUUAAAUUGAUACAUACUAUUGCCUGACAGAUACAUACUAUUGCCUGACAGAUAGUGUAAUCUGUGUGAACAUGUGAACUUAUAUGUUUGAGUACCUGCAAUGGCAAGUGAUACAUACUAUUGCCUGACA